GAUGAACGCUGGCGGCGUGCCUAAUACAUGCAAGUCGAGCGAACGGACGAGAAGCUUGCUUUUCUGAUGUUAGCGGCGGACGGGUGAGUAACACGUGGAUAACCUACCUAUAAGACUGGGAUAACUUCGGGAAACCGGAGCUAAUACCGGAUAAUAUUUUGAACCGCAUGGUUCAAAAGUGAAAGACGGUCUUGCUUUCACUUAUAGAUGGAUCCGCGCUGCAUUAGCUAGUUGGUAAGGUAACGGCUUACCAAGGCAACGAUGCAUAGCCGACCUGAGAGGGUGAUCAGCCACACUGGAACUGAGACACGGCCCAGACUCCUACGGGAGGCAGCAGUAGGGAAUCUUCCACAAUGGGCGAAAGCCUGACGGAGCAACGCCGCGUGAGUGAUGAAGGUCUUCGGAUCGUAAAACUCUGUUAUCAGGGAAGAACAGAUGUGUAAGUAACUGUGCACAUCUUGACGGUACCUAAUCAGAAAGCCCCGGCUAACUACGUG
rnacentral:rRNA from 1 species